AGCAGCCGCGGUAAUUCCAGCUCCAAUAGCGUAUAUUAAAGUUGUUGCAGUUAAAAAGCUCGUAGUUGAAUUUCGGGGUCAGUAGGUUGGUCGUGCCACUGGUACGUACUGGUCUCACUGAUUCCUCCUUCCUGAUGAACCGUAAUGCCAUUAAUUUGGUGUUGCGGGGAAACUGGACUGUUACUUUGAAAAAUUAGAGUGUUUAAAGCAGGCUAACGCUUGAAUACAUUAGCAUGGAAUAAUGAAACAGGACGUUCGAUCCUAUUUUGUUGGUUUCUAGGAUUGACGUAAUGAUUAAUAGGGAUAGUUGGGGGCAUUAGUAUUCAAUUGUCAGAGGUGAAAUUCUUGGAUUUAUUGAAGACUAACUACUGCGAAAGCAUUUGCCAAGGAUGUUUUCAUUAAUCAAGAACGAAAGUUAGGGGAUCGAAGACGAUCAGAUACCGUCGUAGUCUUAACCAUAAACUAUGCCGACUAGGGAUCGGAUGAUGUUAAUUUUUUAAUGACUCA
rnacentral:rRNA from 1 species